GACGAACGCUGGCGGCGUGCUUAACACAUGCAAGUCGAACGGAAAGGCCCUGCUUUUGUGGGGUGCUCGAGUGGCGAACGGGUGAGUAACACGUGAGUAACCUGCCCUUGACUUUGGGAUAACUUCAGGAAACUGGGGCUAAUACCGGAUAGGAGCUCCUGCUGCAUGGUGGGGGGUUGGAAAGUUUCGGCGGUUGGGGAUGGACUCGCGGCUUAUCAGCUUGUUGGUGGGGUAGUGGCUUACCAAGGCUUUGACGGGUAGCCGGCCAGAGAGGGUGACCGGCCACAUUGGGACUGAGAUACGGCCCAGACUCCUACGGGAGGCAGCAGUGGGGAAUAUUGCACAAUGGGCGGAAGCCUGAUGCAGCAACGCCGCGUGCGGGAUGACGGCCUUCGGGUUGUAAACCGCUUUCGCCUGUGACGAAGCGUGAGUGACGGUAAUGGGUAAAGAAGCACCGGCUAACUACGUG
rnacentral:rRNA from 1 species